rnacentral:rRNA from 1 species
GAUGAACGCUGGCGGCGUGCUUAACACAUGCAAGUCGAACGAAGAUGCCGGAGUGCUUGCACUUUGGCAGACUGAGUGGCGGACGGGUGAGUAACGCGUGGGUAACCUGCCUUAUACAGGGGGAUAACAGUUGGAAACGACUGCUAAUACCGCAUAAGCGCACGGUAUCGCAUGAUACAGUGUGAAAAACUCCGGUGGUAUAAGAUGGACCCGCGUCUGAUUAGCUGGUUGGUGAGGUAACGGCCCACCAAGGCGACGAUCAGUAGCCGACCUGAGAGGGUGACCGGCCACAUUGGGACUGAGACACGGCCCAAACUCCUACGGGAAGCAGCAGUGGGGAAUAUUGCACAAUGGGGGAAACCCUGAUGCAGCGACGCCGCGUGAGCGAAGAAGUAUUUCGGUAUGUAAAGCUCUAUCAGCAGGGAAGAAAAAAUGACGGUACCUGACUAAGAAGCCCCGGCUAACUACGUG